GUAGGUGAACCUGCGGAAGGAUCAUUACUGAUUUGCUUAAUUGCACCACAUGUGUUUUUCUUUGAAACAAACUUGCUUUGGCGGUGGGCCCAGCCUGCCGCCAGAGGUCUAAACUUACAACCAAUUUUUUAUCAACUUGUCACACCAGAUUAUUACUAAUAGUCAAAACUUUCAACAACGGAUCUCUUGGUUCUCGCAUCGAUGAAGAACGCAGCAUCUGACUGACUAUUCAGCACCAGAUCUCGUAUGC
rnacentral:misc_RNA from 1 species